AACGAACGUUAGCGGCGCGCCUAACACAUGCAAGUCGAGCGAGAAAGGGAGCAAUCCCCGGUACAGCGGCGCACGGGUGAGUAACACGUAGGUAAUCUGCCUCCGAGUGGGGAUAACCUUCCGAAAGGAGGGCUAACACCGCAUAAGACCACGACUCCGAGAGGGGAUGAGGUCAAAGCCGGCCACUAUACAUAAGCUGGCGCUUGGAGAUGAGCCUGCGGCCCAUCAGCUAGUUGGCAGGGUAACGGCCCACCAAGGCGAAGACGGGUAGCUGGUCUGAGAGGAUGAUCAGCCACACUGGAACUGAGACACGGUCCAGACUCCUACGGGAGGCAGCAGUGGGGAAUCUGCGCAAUGGGCGAAGCCUGACGCAGCGACGCCGCGUGAGUGAUGAAGGCCUUCGGGUUGUAAAGCUCUGUGGAGGGGGAAGAAUAAGGCAUGGCUAACAUCCAUGUCGAUGACGGUACCCCUUUAGCAAGCACCGGCUAACUCUGUGCCAGCAGCCGCGGUAAGACA
rnacentral:rRNA from 1 species